AAUAAGUGCAGCUAUAUGUAUUCGUGUCCAACGUUUAACCGUCCGUCUUAUUUGAAAACUUUUAAUGAUUAGUAUUUUUGUUAUUAAAUGAUAAAACAUGAAUAUUACUUUAUGCGUGACUAUUUUUUUAAUCUUUUCAUAAAAUUUUCAAAUAAGACGAACGGUCAAACGUAGAUACGGAUACUCAUGGCUGCACUUAUU
rfam:Oryza glaberrima chromosome 2 Oglab02_0009_5, whole genome shotgun sequence.